AUUGAACGCUGGCGGCAGGCCUAACACAUGCAAGUCGAACGAGUGGCGGACGGGUGAGUAAUGUCUGGGAAACUGCCCGAUGGAGGGGGCUAACUACUGGAAACGGUAGCUAAUACCGCAUACCAUCGGAUGUGCCCAGAUGGGAUUAGCUAGUCGGUGGGGGAACGGCUCACCUCGGCGACGAUCCCUAGCUGGUCUGAGAGGAUAACCAGCCACACUGGAACUGAGCAACGGGCCAGACUCCUACGGGAGGCAUCAUUGGGGAAUAGUGCACAAUGGGCGCAAGCCUGAUGAAGCCAUGCCGCGUGUAUGAAGAAGGCCUGCGGUUUGGAAAGUACUUUCAGCGAGGAGGCGUUACUCGCAGAAGAAGCAUCGGCUAACUCCGUGCCAGCAGCCGCGGUAAUAC
rnacentral:rRNA from 1 species